GACGAACGCCGGCGGCGUGCCUAAUACAUGCAAGUAGAACGCACAGUUUAUACCGUAGCUUGCUACACCAUAGACUGUGAGUUGCGAACGGGUGAGUAACGCGUAGGUAACCUGCCUGGUAGCGGGGGAUAACUAUUGGAAACGAUAGCUAAUACCGCAUAAUAUUAAUUAUUGCAUGAUAAUUAAUUGAAAGGUGCAAUUGCACCACUACCAGAUGGACCUGCGUUGUAUUAGCUAGUAGGUGAGGUAACGGCUCACCUAGGCGACGAUACAUAGCCGACCUGAGAGGGUGAUCGGCCACACUGGGACUGAGACACGGCCCAGACUCCUACGGGAGGCAGCAGUAGGGAAUCUUCGGCAAUGGACGAAAGUCUGACCGAGCAACGCCGCGUGAGUGAAGAAGGUUUUCGGAUCGUAAAGCUCUGUUGUAAGAGAAGAACGGGUGUGAGAGUGGAAAGUUCACACUGUGACGGUAUCCUACCAGAAAGGGACGGCUAACUACGUG
rnacentral:rRNA from 1 species